rnacentral:tRNA from 1 species
GGGGAUGUAGCUCAGUGGUACAGCACUUGCCUGGCAUGCAUGAGGCCCUGGGUUUGAUCCCCAAUGCCA